rnacentral:tRNA from 1 species
GUGGACAGGUGGGAGUGGUUAUUAGGCAUGACUAGAAAUCAUGUGGGCUCUGUCUGCGCAGGUUCGAAUCCUGCUGUUCACG